GGGGCCUUAGCUCAGCUGGGAGAGCGCCUGCUUUGCAAGCAGGAGGUCAUCGGUUCGAUCCCGAUAGGCUCCACCA
rnacentral:tRNA from 31 species